rnacentral:rRNA from 1 species
GACGAACGCUGGCGGCGUGCUUAACACAUGCAAGUCGAACGGAAAGGCCCUGCUUUUGUGGGGUGCUCGAGUGGCGAACGGGUGAGUAACACGUGAGUAACCUGCCCUUGACUUUGGGAUAAUUUCAGGAAACUGGGGCUAAUACCGGAUUGGAGCUCCUGCUGCAUGGUGGGGUUUGGAUAGUUUCGGCGGUUGGGGAUGGACUCGCGGCUUAUCAGCUUGUUGGUGGGGUCGUGGCUUACCAAGGCUUUGACGGGUAGCCGGCCUGAGUGGGUGACCGGCUACAUGGGGACUGAGAUAAGGCCGAGACUCCUACGGGGGGCAGCAGUGGGAAAUAUUGCACAAUGGGCGGAAGCCUGAUGCAGCAACGCCGCGUGCGGGAGGACGGCCUUCGGGUUGUAAACCGCUUUCGCCUGUGACGAAGCGUGAGUGACGGUAAUGGGUAAAGAAGCACCGGCUAACUACGUG